GACCCAGUCACAGAGCCAAAUUUCAUAAAGAAUUACUUCUCCAUGUCAUUUUCCCAUUCAGAAACUCAGAAGAGACCCCAGUACCUACAGGAAAACCUUCAAAACUUUUAACUUUCCAUGUUCCUGUUGAUCUCUUCAGUCUAAACACCCUCAGUUCUUUCAGUUGCUCUUCACGUGGCAGUUUCCAGCAGCUUCAUGUGAACACACUCGAUGUCAGUAAAUGGUGUCCAAGGCUUUAGAUCUGACUGAUUCUACAUACAAUGGGAUAAUUACUAUCCGGGGUCUGGAAUGUUCUUUCUGUUAAGGGAGCCUAACACAGCAUCAGCUUGUGAGUCACAUGGUUAACUUAUAUCACUUUUUUGCUAUCCUAAAAUUGCCAGGUCUUUUCAUGUAAGAGAAACGCUGGAACCCUGUAAUCCAAGAGAGUGAUAUCAGGUCCAGUGUGGUUGAUAGCCUUCCAUAAGCAGUUCAGUUUUGACUUAUGCAAGUUAGGGUGACACCAGCCUAAGAAAUGAGAGUCUGCAGAGUUACCUUUAAAAAUAAAAUAAAAUGAAAUAUAAAACUUGGGAUUUAUAUAACAGGUUAUGUUUUGCAAAAGCAUUAUUUCAUUUUAGUCUCAUAAAAAUUUCUGCGAGCAAGAUCUUUCUGUCUCCAUUUUAUGGGUGAGAAACCCGAGGCUCUCAGAGGUUGAGGGAUUUGCCUAAGGUCAGACAGAUAAAGAGCAAAACAAGGACUCAAACGGGACAUGAAGCUCAGGUCCCCUUCUUGGCACCAUAGCAGCCUGCACAUAUUUUCCCCACGACAGGCUCUCAAUUUCCUUCCUGUUUUCUUUUCAUUUCAACUUCUUGCUCACUCUUCAGGAUGCCCUUUCUGGGAUGUCCCCCUCAGUUCUGCAAUUAUCUAGAAUCUCCUGGACUUUCCUUCUAUCUUAAAAGUCAUCUGCUCAGUUGGCUGAUACUUCAUAAUGAAGCCACGAAUCCAGUCUUCUCCACGAAGCCUUCAGUGGCCAUCUCGUCCAGUUCAAGCAGUUCUGCCUCUGAAGUGCUGUAGCAAUGCUUUCUCCAGCACAUCGCAUUCUACCCUAGGUUGAUUUUCAUGUGUCAUGGCUUAUAUUCGCUACCAAAUUGUGGGUUUCCUGAGAAGAGCAGCCAUGCCUGAUACCUCUUUGUUGGCCCCACAUCUAAAAGAGUGCCUUGAUCAAUAACAUUUGGUUGUUUGAUGAUAGCUGGUGCUUAAUAUUUGCUGACAUUUCACACAGUAAAAAUUGUCAGGCUUGUCCUAAAUUCUCUCAUAAUUUAGACUUCCCUUUAUAUUCUUUAGCCAUCAAGAUUAAUAUCUACAAUGUUACCUCAAGUUCGGAAUACUCUUGCAAUAAAAAAUAUAAAAUUUAAAAAUGCUUUCCUCAGGUCCAACGUCCAUCUGAGAUUCUUCUUGGAACUUCCUCAAAUGGCCAGGAUUAUCCCACCUUGCCCUUCAUGUAUCCGUUCUCUAGAAGCCUCUUCAUUUCAGUGGAUUUGCAGAAAGUGACGAGAGGAGUAUAGUGGGGACAGAAGUAGUUGUGGUGACCUUGAUCAAGGAAUUUGGAAAAACAGGAUUCUUUAGACCUGGAAGAGAUAUUAGAGAAUACUAGUCUCAUUAAUGACAAGGAAAUCGAGGCCCUGGAAGGUGACCUGAAUUGUAAAGGCCAAAGCCAGAAUCCAGAUUUCCUGGCUGUGGUGCUCUUUUCCUCCAUCAAUCCAGCCCUGUACUAUUAACUGGUGUACAUAUAUGUAUAUAUACAUGUCAGUUACAGUGCUUCUGGAAACAGAAUUUUUCAACAUCAGGUCAACUUCAGAUCCUC